rnacentral:lncRNA from 1 species
UUUGUUUUGUAAUUCUUUAUUUGGCACAAGGGACAGGCAUGUUUGUAUUGGUGUUUUCCAAAGCUCCUUUCCACUGUUACCUGGAGACUGAGCAGAGAUGUGAGCAGGGAGCUGAAGGAGGCAGAAGUGACAACUGGAGAUGCCAAGAGGAAGAGGAAGGGCCCCCUCAUGAGUAGCAUGUCACUCGGUCAUCAGCAAGUCAUAAAAGAGAAAAACAGGAUCACGGAGGUGGUACUUGUACCAGUUCUGUUAUCACAGCUGCAGACCCUCUGGGAGCAGAAAGGAGGGACCAGACAAGGAGUAAACUACUGAUCCACAAAACAGUGUCGCUGACCCUCCAGAGCGUGGCUGCCACCUUUCUCUCCUGCCCUUCAUUGGCACCAGCCACUUGAGCGGCCAGUGAUGUUACCAUGGUUGUUACAAUACUGAUGGUGAAGGGAGGGUGCUGAGGAACACUCUGGAAGGUUUGCCUGUAUCUGCUAAAAUGUUCCCAGAUGGGUGAAUAUGGCUACCUCCACAUAGUUAACUGUAUGGAAGAAAACUGAGUCAAGUUAUUCCUCUCAAAUGGUCUAAUUGUUUUGUUUCUCUAAUCAAUGUAAAGCAUGUUCUGGGCUUUAAAAGUCAAAAUUAAUAAAAGAAC